CCCAGAGCCCGGAAGGAGUGCAGCGCGGAGGGUAGAGCUUCCUUCCCCGGGGCCGGUGGGGUCUACGGGGUGCGCUUUGGGCUGUGGCGUUGCUCGCCCGCGAGCUCCUGGGGAGUUCGGGAGAGCUGCUGGGCUGGCGCCUGGAGUGGGGGCCGCCUCCAAGUGUUGUCUUUCGAAUUCAGUUACUUUCGUUUGUGUUGUCAGGCAACAACUGACCUUAAAUAAAAAUGAAAACCAGAAGUAGGCUACACAUGCAAUAAUGGAUACUUAAGGAAUGGGAGUGGCUGCUGGUGACUGGAGCAGAGAGGGUGUGGUUUCCCCAUGUUUGGGGCCCGGGGAUAAGGACUAAAGUCUAAGUGUCCAGAGCCCGGACUGCAUGUCGGUCAUCACAUCAACAGGAGAACUGGUGGAGCCUGAGGAAAGGCUACGGGGUGCCAGAGUCUGAGAGGGCGGGAGAUUGCGUUCCUACCACGUUCGCCCGGGCGCACAGGGGCUCUGCGGGGCCCGCCGCUCCCCAGGGCGUGAGAGAAGUGGGUCUGAGACCGUGCGGCGGCGAUCACAGUCGACCCUGCAGAAGCCGGGGAAGGCCACGAGUUUGACUGGGUCCGAGGACUGUGAAGAAGGCGCCUCCCAUGAGAAAGCUACCAGGUAGUUUAACAAGGUUUUCUCUCCGUCCGAGUCCCUGUUCUGCCAACAUCCCGUGUUUGAAUCUGGUACCUAAAGCCACAGAUACGUGGUUCAUGGCAGAUGUCCACUCUGCAGUGGCUGAAAACACAGAAGAAAAACCAUCUUCGCCUGGGAAGGACAUUAUUGCUAGUGCCAUUACUGUCAACAGUUGUUAACAAGAUAAACGGCAUGCCCAAUCUAGUUGAGGAUUUUGGACACCGGGCCUCCCACUGGGACUGCACCGAGAAACCAGGUCUGCCAUUGCCGCCUCCCCUGGGCCUCGCUGUCUUAGCACAGUGAGUGCACCUGACCGCUCCGGGAGUCCCCAUUUCACUCCCGCAACCCGGCCUGUGAUGAGGCUCCCGCUUGUCAUCUCCACCAGGAGGUGCUGUCCUGCCGAAAUGUUGGGAUUUUUCUCCAAACUUCCUCCUGUUCAGAAUUCACCAUCUCAGUAGUGGCGUGGACAUCCACCUGGCCUUAGCUCACCCAGAAACCUAUGAAUUUUUGUGAACAGGUUUGUGUCCCUUACCAAUCUGUCAACUUUCCACUGCCACCACUGUUUCCCAGGCCACUAGUGUGUUUUGCCCAGACUGCUGGUAGCUCCUAACCCAUGUCCCCUAAUCCACUUACCCCCCACAUAUGACACACAUACAAUCCAUUCUCCACACAGACACCACGGUGAUGUUGAUGCUGUCUAUAUUGGCCUUCCUUUUGGUGGUCAAACGUGUCUAGCUCCUGCAGCCUUGGGGUCUAAUAAGCAUUUGCUCUUCCUUUUGCCUAAAAGGCUCUGGCCUCCUGCCAUGCCAUUUCCUAUGCACCUGUCAAACCUGAAUCUGGUGGCCAGCUUCCCUAAACUAGCAAGCCUGAACCUCUCUACUCUUCAUGUCCACAGGACCCCUACUCUGUUGAAGAUGUUGUGACAAUCAGAAUCUAAAUAAUUACGAUAAUUAUUUGUUAUACCAUGUGGCUCCACCACCAUGCUGUAAAGUACUACCAUUUCUAUCUUCUCCGUUUUUGUAUCUCCAUCAAUUAGCACAGUGUCUUCCAUAUGCAAAGUACUCAAUUAUUUACUAUGGAUGACUACUCAUUGUGAAACAGAAAUGACUUGCCAGAGGCUGCACAGCUAGUAAGUGUUCAGGAUUAGAACUCAUAUGUGAUACCAAGAUCCACGCAUUCUCCACUACACCAAUCAGAUCAUAGUAGAAUCAUGAGGAAUUUUUCACUUGAACGUAUGAACUCAGCAAAAGGGAACUGUUGAUGAGGAAGAUGAGCCCCUGCCGAAAGGGACUCAUGAGGCCUCUCCAGUCUUGUCUUAUUUCCUCCUCAACAAACACUCAAUGGCAAACAUCAAGACAAACCAGAAAGUCCUUCUUUUAACUUUUUUCUCAUCAAACUUUUUGGCCUAGUUGUUGUUCUGCAGAUAUCUGUGGUCUUCACUCUGCUUACAGCCAUCCUAAGGAUUCCAUGGAGAUCCAUGGAGUCUGGGGAGGUUGGAACUCACAAGAGCAUCUCUGUUGCACCUUCAGGGCAGCUCUCAUUCCAUCUGUCUUAUAUAUGGGGCAAGAUUGUAUUUAAAGAAAGAUCUAAUAUGAGGAAAAAUGUUUAGAAUCUACUCAUCAAUAUUCUUUUUUAGUCUGGUAGAUGAUAGUGCCCUAGGCUACAAAUGAAUCCAAGAUUUAAACGUGAAAAAAAUGUCAAGGUAUUAGAAUAAAACAUGACCAGAUUCCUUUAUAAUCUUAGAGUGGGAGAAAGGUUUUCUAACUAUGACUCAAAAUGCCCUAGUUGUAAUAGGAAAGAUUGAUCAAUUCAACUACGUAAAAACCCUAAAUUAUGGAUGGCAAAAAAAAAAAACACAAUCAGCAAAGACAAAUGGCAAAACUGAAGAAUAGUUCAUAUUGAUGUCAUAUAGAAACAACCCCCUAAAGUAUAAAUUACUCUUGGAGGAGUAACAAAAAGUAUUCCUUGGGGAAAAUAACCAAAAACCCAGUAGAAAAUAGGCAAAGGACAAGGGCAGUUCACAGAGAAAGGAACACAAAUGGCUUUUAUACAAUGAAAAAUAUACUAUCUCACUCAUGGCAAGAAAAAUGCAAACUUAAACUGCACACCUAUCAUACUGGCUAAAAUCCAAGUCCUCAACAACACAUAUUGGGGUAAGGGUCCUCUCGUGUAUUGCUAACAAAAGUACAAAAUUAGGCAACUCCUAUCAAUGUGACUGUGGGAAUAUGUUUCAAAAUUCUAAGUGUAUUUACUCUUUAAGCUAGCAAUCAUACUUCUGGGAAUUAAUCCUACACAUACACCUGCACACAUAUUGUCUUUGUUUUGUGCUGCUAUAACAGAAUAUCUGAUACUGAGUAGUUUACAAAGAACAGACGUUUACUUUCUCACUCUGAGAAAUCUGAGAUCAAGGAGCUGGCAUUUGGUGUCUGGUGUGGGCCUUCUUGCUGUUAAUGGGAUUAAGGCCACGAAAAGAAGAAGGCAGAAGGCCACGAAAGCAGGCUAGCCAAAUGCUGCAUGAAGUCUGUUUUAUAAGGGCCUUAAUCCCAUUAACAAUGGAGGAGCUUUCAUGGCCUAUUUGGCAACACCUGAAUUUUAGAGGAGACACAUAUGAAAUGAUAACACAUGUGAAAUGGUAUGUAUGUAAGGGUAUUUAUCGCAGCAUAGAUUGCAAUAGCAAAAGACUAGAAACAAUUGAUAUAUUUGUUUACUUGGAGAGUAAGGAGACUGUUAAAUAUGCCAUGGUAAUACCUUCAUAAUGAUCUCCAGCUUUACUAAAUUAAAAAAACAAUUGACAGAGUAUGAUUCAUAGUGUGCUGCCUCUCUAGUGCAAGAAAACAGGAAAAGAAAACAUAUUGCUUAUAUCUGCAUGAAGAAAUGCAACAUCAAAAUAGAUAUAUAGAAAAUAAAUAAAAGGGGUUACCUAGUAGAGGGGAGGAACCAAGUGAUUGGGAUGAAGGGAGGAAGACUUCUCCAUCUCUACUUUUUAAUGUAGUUUUGUAUACCUAUUUUUAAAA